UUUUUAUUUAAAGGGGAAGGGAAUAUAGCUCAAUGGUAAAACACUCGCCUAGUAUGCACAAUGCCCUAGAUUCAGUAAUGAAAAAAAAAAAGAAAGAAAGCAAUGCCUCAUCAUGUACAUCAAUUUAUGAUCUUGGAGUUUAAAAUAAUGCCAGUCUGAAUGGUGAAUGUCUAGGUAUUGUUAAAGCUUCAUCUACUCUGGCAGACUGCUCUGUGUCUUUCUACAUUCUGGAAGCUGCCUGUAUUCCUUGGCUUGAUCAAUCCUGCUGUUAUGGGUAUGGGGCUCUCAGUUCUCAGGCAAGAGAACAAUUUAAGCAAAAUUUUAUUAUUUAUGAAUAUUUAUUAGGUAGGUGGCACAGCUGUGGAUAUUUUAUAAAUAUUUAUGAGGUGGUUGACAAUGUCAUGGGGUAAGAUGACCCCUUUCCCUCUCAAAAAACAGUGGACAGGAUCUCCACUUCUGGAUAUUUUCCCCCAUGUUCCUCUAGGAAAACCCACACAGGGAGAGGGUCAAGGGCCACAGUGCAAAUGAUGUUAUAAGGAAGGCAGGGUCUUUGGUAGAUGCAGACCCUUCGCUAUCGCACAUGUGUGAAAAAUGCAUUGUUUUCCAAUCUAACAGAAACAACCCAACUGCAGCCUCAAGGAUUUUUCACCAGAAGAGAUGCUGUGAGAAUCACAGUUCCCAAGAUCCAGCUGUGGUUUUCCUUAGUUACCUCAUACCUAACUCCCUGCCCAACAUUAUCACUGCUUUGUUAAGGCACACCUCCAUCCUUUGUCAUUGUCACCACAUUGUCACUCCCCUGACUCUUCAUCCUCCUCUCCAUCAUGAGAGUCCCAGGGAUUCUAUAAGACCCACUCAGGAUGAACCAUGACCUUCUUCCCAUCCUGUGUCUUCAGUGUAAUCUACAAAAUCCCCUUUAAGGCCUAAGAUAAUGUACUUGUGGAUUCUAGGGGUUGGGACAUGGAGCUCUGGAAGACGGAAGGUGUAGUUGUUAACAGUGGUCGUCAACUUGAUGACAGAAUCUAGAAUCUCUUAGAAUGCAAGCUUUCAGGCACACCUAUGAAGAAUUAUCCAGAUCAGUUCUCAACCAGUUGGUCAUUCGGCCCCCUUUCACAGGGGUCGUAUAUCAGAGAGCCUGCGUAUCAGAUAUUUACAUUAUAAUUUGUAACAGUAGCAAAAAUACAUUUAUGAAGUAGCAACAAAAAUAAUUUUAUGGUUGAGGGUCACCACACGAGGAACUGUAUUAAAGAAUCGCAGUGUUAGGAAAGUUGAGAACCACUGCUGUAGAUUAAGUUUAACCUUUGAGAAUGUGUGCUGGCUAGGUUUGUUUGUUUUUGUUUUGUUUUGUUUUGUUUUUUGGUGACUUGGUACAGGCUACAGUCAUCUGGGAAGAGGGACUAUCAGCUGAUAAGUUGCCUCCAUCAGAUUGGCUUGUAGGCAAUGUUUGUGGGCUUUUUAUUGAUUAAUGAUUGAUAUAGGAGGGCCAGCCCACUGUGGGUGGUGUCACCCCUAGGCAGGUGGUCCUGGGUUGUUUAAGAAACUAAACUGAGCAAACCCUGGAGAGUGAGCCAGUAAGCAGCACUCCUCUAUGGUUUUUGAAACAGUUCCUGAUUCUGCCUUGAGUUUCUAUCCUAACUUUCCUCAAAGAUCGACAAUAAUCAGAAUGUGUAAGCCAAGUAAACUCUUUCCUUUCCAAGUUGCUUUUGGUAAUGAUCUUUAUCACAACAAUAGAAAUCAAACUAAGACUCAAUAUCUGUUCAGGAGUGCCUUCAUUUGGGAAAACACACCCGCUGUGGGUGGCGCCAUUCCCUGGGCCACCCUGGAGUGUAUAAAGAGGAGAAAGUGACCUGAGCACAAGCACUUGUUGCUUUCUGCUCAAGAAAGCAACCAACUAUGCAGCAAAAACCAAAACCCUAAAAUAAUUCUGCAGAUCUUCCAAUUUGACAGAACCGUUUUGGAAGCUCCUGGGUGUUUGUGACCAGUACCCACAGUAGUAUCAAGAUACCAGCUGUCUGCCCAUGGUGACUGCUCUGGGGCUCCUCGUGUAGGAUUUGGCUUCUGUACAGCAACAUUUGCACUUCUUAAUACAUAACCAUGAUGCAACGCUGGCUAAAAAGAAGAAAUAGAAAAAGGUUGAUGAAACAAAGAAAACAAGGACCAUAAAAUGGUAGUUCUAUAAAUCUGAAUCAAAAUGAGCUUCAUUCAGCAGACUCUCAUAUUGCAUUCAGCUAAUCAAAGUGUUUGUAUGGCUCAUCACAAUGCCUCUUGAAGAGCAGAAACCAAAGCCAUGAAGGGAAAAUAUAGCAGCCAUUACAUGCUAUUUGACCUUCCAUUGUCAGGAGUAAGGACAGUUACAGCCUGCUCUUGUAAUUUGCCGGAUGGCACAUGCACACAGCAAUUGGAACUCAUUUUGUUCAUCUCAUCAUUUAAACACAAAAACAUGGUAUUAAAAACUUUUUUUCUGUGCAAAAGGCAUAAAUUCCAAACAUUCAUUUAGGAAACAGUUUUUGUCUAUUUCUGAUGCCACAAUGAGUCAUUGCAUUUCAUACAUUUUAAUGUACAGUACAUUCAUCUCUGUGCCAAGAUGACAUGUUAUUUUAAAACUUAUCUGUUAACACAGCAAGCCUUUCCCUUACCUUACAUAAUUAAACAUUUUAUUAUUGGGUAUAUGGAAAAGAUUGAGACUCUUUUUACAUUACAGGCAUCACAGGUUUUUAACUACCCCUUGCCUAAAUAAAAUUUUAUUAUUUUAUUUUAUUCUUUUUUAAAAAUCGCUGCUUUAUUACACAACUUACAUAAUAAUUCAAAUGAUUUCAGGUUGAUGGCAUAGGCUGGUAGAACCUGCACUCUGAAGGCAGAGACAGGACGAUUCUGAGUUUAUGGCCAGCCUGGGUUACAUAGUGAGACCAUGUCUAAAAAGUUAACUUCAACAUGUUUGGAAGAGUUAUGUGGGGAAAAUAUUCUCCAGUCAAAAUUUCGGUAUUUAGAGACGAGGAAAAUGGUGCAAGAGUCUUGAACCCCUUACUAUGAAUAAAGACCAGUGAGGUUUAUGGGUGAGAUUCUUCCUUCCCUGCUCUCUCAAGGCAGCCUGAGGACAGGGUAGGCAGUCUAUAGGGUCCAGAAGGUUUCACCUGUGGUCCUGGCACCCUCUCUCCUACUCCCAUCUCAGUAUCACCCCUCUAGGUUCCUCCCUCAGAGCCUUAAUUUCUUUAGCAUCCAAGUUAUUCAUGUUCCCUUUAUGAGGUACCGUCUUCCCCUCUACAAAGUGGGAUCUCCCAUUAUCUGUACAUACAUAUACAUAGUGCCUGAUUGCCACUAUCUGCUCAGAGCAGAUACACAAUGGGGAUUGGCGAGGGGGGGGGCGCAAAAGGAAGCUGCAUUCUCAGCAGUAACUCUACGGCUCGUGAUUUAUCUGGUGGCUCUGCCUGAGACUCAGGGUGUCUUAGUUAGUGUUCUAUUGCUGUAAAGAGACACCAUGACCAAGGAGGCUCUUACAAAAGAAAGCAUGUAAUUGGGGAGCUUGCUUAUCCUUUCAGAGGUUUAGUCCACUAUCGUCAUGGAGGGGAGUGUGGUGACAUGCAAGCAGGUGCUGGAGCAGUAGCUGAGAGUUACAUCAUGACGGCAGGCAGAGAGAGACUAUGGGUUUUAGCAUGGGCUUUUGAGACCUCAAAGCCCACCCCUAGUGACAUACUUCCUCCAACAAGGCCACACCUCCUCCAACAAGGCCACACCUACUCCAACAAAGCCACACCUCCUAAUCCUUCUUAAGCAGUGCCACUCCCUGAUGACUAAGGAUUCAAAUAUAUAAGCCACAGGGGCCAUUCUUACUCAAACCAUCCCACAGGGGCAGAUUCCCCAAAUGCUAGUGGAUUUGUUUACAGCAUCUUCACAACGUUCUUAUUUACUGGGAACUGUGUCCCUUUUACAGCACCAAGAAACAAAUAAUUCCUACCCAACAUGUAUUUACUUUCUUAACUAUUUCUAACUUCGGGGAGAAACUUUCUUCAAAGUCGAUGCUGCCUUCAUUUACCCUGGACUUCCCCACCUAUACCCCCAGGAUCCCAGAGGCUAGCAUGCUUGAGACCUAAUGGAUCUGUAGGGUGCUGGCCGUCCCUUUCUGGUGUGUCUCCUGAAUUUUACAGAACCAUCUGGGGGUCCUCAUCUGGCUCCUUUCCCUACAGAUAAUCCAGUGUGCACAUGGACACAGGACAGUCCACUGUUUUGUUUGUUUGAAGAUUUAUUUAUUAUAUAUACAUUGUUCUGCCUGCAUGUAUGCCUGCAGGCUAGAAGAGGAUGUCAGAUCUCAUUAUGAAUGGUUGUGAGCCAUCUGCAGGUGCUGAGAAUUGAACUCAGGACCUCUGAAAGAGCAUCCAGUACUCUUAAACUCUGAGCCAUCUCUCCAGCCCUGUUCUUUUGUUUUGUUGUUUUGGGAAACGGUUUCUCUGUAUAGCCCUGGCUGUCCUGGAGCUCGCUCCUGGUGCCUCUGUCUCUGGAAUGCUAAGAUUAAAGUUGUGUACCACCAUGACCAGCUCUGUUUUUGUUGUGGUUCAGUUUUGAAACAUGGUCUCAUACUGUAGUCCACACUGCACAGAACAGUGGUGCAGCUGACCUUGAAUUCACAUCAAUCCUCCUGCCUCAUCUGAGUGCCUGAAUUACAGGUGAGAAGUACCACAUCUGGCUGACCAUUCAGCUUCCUAAAAACACCUUCAUUGAUCCAGUCGUGGGAAGAAUCCGUUAUGUCCACAUUGUCAACCCUACCACCAGUACCUCUCCUGCUCAAAUGUUAAGGCUUUCUGAAGUUGGGUACCACGCUACUGUUUAACAUUUAUCACCCCAAACUUGUUACCACGCUGAUGACCACAGUAGUGGCCUUUACUCCAUCGCCACCUGUCACAUCUAGUGUCCCGAUCAAUCUACUGUUUGCUCUUCUGGUUUUCUCUCUUUUAGGAGAAUAGAGGUCACCAAACAAGGUGACCAACGUAUUGGCAGGAGCUUAGGUGGCAAUUUGAGUGGAAGCCUGACCCCAGGACAGGGGUACUGGGAGUCGGGUAGGGGGUGGGAAAGAAUUGCAAACCGCCUGAGGAAUGCUCUGUGGUUAUUGAGUGAGGUAUGCAACGUACCUGGGACAAACGAAACACCCUCAAGUUGUUGUUUUAAGAAGAAACAAAUGAUUCCAUAGAAUACAACGAAUAUCAUAGACCCAGCACGGAUUCUAUUCAUUUUUACCCCGCUUCCGCAGUAAAGGGUGAUUUUUACACUUUCUGAGCAUCUACUCAGUGUAGGAAGUGUAGGUUUCAUGCCACUGAUAAAAGAAAAUUAGUUUCUUGACCAUAUCCAUUCUCCUUUACCCCCCCCCCAUUUGUCUCCUUGCCAAGUAGCCUUCCUGCUACUUUUGACUUUUUAAACAUUUAUUUUUUUCAAAAUAAAGUGUAGGUGUGUGUUUGUGCACGCCGCAGAUCUCCCCCGAACUUGAGUUAAGGGGCAGGGUGAGACGCGGGUUGUGGGUGAUGGGAACCGAACCCGCUUUCUCUGCAAGAGCGGUACUUUUGACCUCCGAGCCGCCUCGCCAGUCUCUCCCCUUUGUAUUUUCAUAAAGCACGGCGUUUUAAAAAUUCUGGUUUUAAGAAAGAAACAGAUAUUCCGAGGUUUCUAGCUCUUUGGGUUUUAAACGGUGGAACUUAGUUUUAAGAUGAAAAGAAAGGAAACACCUGCAGCUUGGACCCCCGAGGCCCCUCGGGCUGAGCCGCCCGCCGGGGCUGUCUGCGCGGUUCGCCUUCUCGCCAUCGGAAGGGCGGGUCGGGGAUCCGGGUUCGCUUCCCGAGGACGGCAGCCGCGGGGUCGCUCGGUCCGCCCCUGCCAGGCCGGUCUGCGCGUGCCGGGGGCUGGAUCUCACGGAGCGAAGCCCCGCAGAGGAUGCCGUCGCUCGCCCGCAGGCUUGGCCGUGCGAGCCCCUCGUGGGACCCUCGUCCAGUCGCUCCUGGAUCCACCGGUCCCCAGACACCGGCUCGUAGCCCCAGGGCUUCUGACACACCUGCUGACAACAGGGAGAAUGCCAAGAAUAACUCAGGUGCUCUUCAGUUUAUGACAAGAUGACCAGACACCUCAAGAGGAGAGCAUCAGGCCUCUGACAGAGGAAAAGCAAAGGAUGAAUGACAGCUUGAACCUGGCAGAUCAAGAGACUGCUAAGCCUCCAUGGUUUCAAGGGCCAAUUUUCCUCCAUCCCGCCCUCCUCACCAUGAGAAACUGAAGAAAGUGGAGAAAACCAGCUAAGCACAUGUGUUCAUUUACUCAUUGCUUCCUGGUUGUAAAUGAGGUGUGACUCCUUCUCAGAAGAGGCCUCCUCUGCCACAGUGUACAUCACCCAUGGCAACGACAGUGUGGAAAACAGCCCCUUUCUUACGCGGAAGACAAAGUCACUGUUCAGAGGACGGCGCAUGGCUUAGUCCAAGGUCUCGUGGCUCUUUUGUGAGUGGCAGAAGCUGCUGUUCCAUUUUGAGACACAGUCUCACACACCUCAGGACACGUAGCUGAGGAAGACAUUGAACUACUGGCCUUCCUCUGUGUACCUCCCCAGUGCUGGGGUUACACUCUCGAAUUGUUAAAUCUGGUUUUUAUGCCGUACUGAGGAUGGAACCCAAGAUAUCGUGCAUGCAAGCUGGAGCAGGAAUCCUGCCAGCCACACCGGCUUCCCUUUGCUUUGCUGGUCUCAGGGUCCACACCCUACCCGAGUGGUAAACAGCAUCGCUCAUCUCACCAAGGAAAGAUAUAGAUUGCUCUGACCCAGGCUUGGAUUCGCUUCUGGGUCUGGGAACAGACAAGAUUCAUACCAAGAGCUCUGUCUGGGACUGAGGAGAGAGAAGAGGUUUAACCUGAACAGCAGAUCCACUGCUUGGAAACACAAACAAAUAAUGAGUGUUCUAAUGACUAAUGAGAACAGGUUUACAGGCUUCGAACGCACGUCAGUCAUCUUCGGAAUCUCCCUGCAGCCUGUGAGAUCAGAUAAGUGUUCUCUUCCUGUCCCGGAUCUUAGGGAGCCCCACUGUCUAGAAGCUGUAUGACCUCUCGCUACUGAGUAAAGGUGUCUGCCACCAAGCCUGAUGAUCUAAGUUCCAUUCCUGGAGCCACGUGAUGGAAGGAGAGACCCAACUUCUGUGAGUUGCCCUCUGACCUCCACAAGUGCACCUUGGUAACUCCCUAGAAAUUAAUUAAUUAGAAAGUAAAACAAACAAACAAACAACAACCCUACUGUAGUUCUGCUCUGCCUGGGACAGGACCAGUGGCCUGCUUGGUUCCUUCUACCUCAGCUUCCCUGUGCAAGGAUUGUAGUUCUUAGCUGUGACAAAUGGUGCCGCCAUGAACAUUUGGAAUGGGCACAAUUUUGUGAGGUAUUUGUGUUGGGAACGGAAUAACAUCAACAGGGUAGAUAAAGGAUUGUCGGCGUGGCUUUACCUUCAAACUGCCACCUCCAGCAAGGCAGAGAAGUGGGCAGAGGUCUCUGUGAAGGGGUGUGGUUUCUGGAUCUAAGAAUGCUGGGCAUAUGCCACUUGGCUACUUGGAGGCCAACUGGAAUGAAUGUGCCUGGGAGUAAGGGCUGCCGUGGUCCUGGGCCACCUUUGCAGAGAGGCAAUGGGGUAUCAGCCCAAGGGAGGUGUAGGCUGUAGCUGG
rnacentral:lncRNA from 1 species